rnacentral:tRNA from 1 species
GCUCAGUUGGUUGAGUGUUCAACUUUUGAUUUUGACUCAGGUCAUGAUCUCACAAUUUGUGGGAUCAAGCCCCACAUCAAGCU